AGGUGAAUAGACUUCUACAGGUGUUCUGAUGGACCUCACUGUCAGGAUAACCUUUCACCUUGUUUGAAACAGAGGAGAAGUGAAUCACAAUAAGGAACUGAGACUAAAUGCUGCCCUGUGAAAAUUUAACAUGCAUGGAAUACAGAGGAGGGGAAGCAGCUUCACUCAUCAAAAGUCAGUUAUAGCUGAUCCAUACUGUUGAAAUUUCACCCAAAGGACAAAAGUGUGAUUACAGCAAUGUA